AAAUAGCUUAAGGGUUAAGGGUAUGGAUUUUCGAUCUAGUGGUCGUGGGUUCGAAUCCCACUUU
rnacentral:tRNA from 1 species